rnacentral:rRNA from 1 species
UACGUAUGGUGCAAGCGUUAUCCGGAUUUACUGGGUGUAAAGGGAGCGUAGGCGGCGCGUUAAGUCUAAUGUGAAAACCCGAGGCUCAACCACGGGAGUGCAUUGGAAACUGGCGGGCUGGAGUGCCGGAGAGGUAAGCGGAAUUCCUAGUGUAGCGGUGAAAUGCGUAGAUAUUAGGAGGAACACCAGUGGCGAAGGCGGCUUACUGGACGGCAACUGACGCUGAGGCUCGAAAGCGUGGGGAGCAAACAGG